rnacentral:rRNA from 1 species
GCUCACGGCCAUACCACCGUGAAAGGACGCCAUCCCGUCCGGUCUGGCAAGUUAAGCAACGUUGGGCCUGGAUAGUACGUGGAUCGAUGACGGAUUGGAAUCCCACGUGUCUUAAGCU